CCUACGGGAGGCAGCAGUGGGGAAUAUUGGGCAAUGGAGGAAACUCUGACCCAGCAACGCCGCGUGAAUGAUGAAGGUCUUCGGAUUGUAAAGUUCUUUUCUAAGGGAAGAAGAAAGUGACGGUACCUUAGGAAUAAGCCUCGGCUAACUACGUGCCAGCAGCCGCGGUAAUACGUAGGAGGCGAGCGUUAUCCGGAAUGACUGGGCGUAAAGGGUGCGUAGGGGGUUUGGCAAGUUAGUAGCGUAACUCCAAGGCUCAACCUUGGAACUACUACUAAAACUGUUGGACUUGAGUGCAGGAGGGGCAACCGGAAUGCCUGGUGUAGCGGUGGAAUGCGUAGAUAUUAGGAGGAACACCAGUGGCGAAGGCGGGUUGCUGGACUGUAACUGACACUGAGGCACGAAAGCGUGGGGAGCAAACAGGAUUAGAUACCCUUGUAGUC
rnacentral:rRNA from 1 species